GACGAACGCUGGCGGCGUGCUUAACACAUGCAAGUCGAGCGGUAAAGCCCUUUCGGGGGUACACGAGCGGCGAACGGGUGAGUAACACGUGGGUGACCUGCCCUCAGCUCUGGGAUAAGCCUGGGAAACCGGGUCUAAUACCGGAUAUGACUCCAUGACGCAUGUUGUGGGGUGGAAAGCCUUGUGCGGCUGAGGAUGGGCCCGCGGCCUAUCAGCUUGUUGGUGGGGUGAUGGCCUACCAAGGCGACGACGGGUAGCCGGCCUGAGAGGGCGACCGGCCACACUGGGACUGAGACACGGCCCAGACUCCUACGGGAGGCAGCAGUGGGGAAUCUUGCGCAAUGGGCGAAAGCCUGACGCAGCGACGCCGCGUGAGGGAUGACGGCCUGGU
rnacentral:rRNA from 1 species